rnacentral:rRNA from 1 species
UACAGAGGUCUCAAGCGUUGUUCGGAUUCAUUGGGCGUAAAGGGUGUGUAGGUGGCGCCGUAAGUCGGGUGUGAAAUUUCGGAGCUUAACUCCGAAACUGCAUUCGAUACUGCGGUGCUUGAGGACUGGAGAGGAGACUGGAAUUCAUGGUGUAGCAGUGAAAUGCGUAGAGAUCAUGAGGAAGACCAGUGGCGAAGGCGGGUCUCUGGACAGUUCCUGACGCUGAGGCACGAAGGCCAGGGAGCAAACGGG